CCUGGACUCAGCUGGGGCUGGGCGGCUUCUCCCUUCCCUGAACUCGCCAUCUGUUCCAGCCCCCCAGCCCCCUGCCUAGCAGCCAUGGGUAGGUCACUGCCCUCACCUGGGGUCACCCCUUCCUCCCCGGAGAGCUCUGACAGAUAUCCUGGAACCUGAAGUGGAUCCUUCAUGCCCCAUCCUGAAUCCCAAAGCCACCUUCCUGAGGUGUUGAAGAAGCUGCUCCACCUUGGAACUACU
rnacentral:lncRNA from 1 species